rnacentral:rRNA from 1 species
UUCCCGGGUCUUGUACACACCGCCCGUCACACCAUGGGAGUCAGUAACGCCCGAAGCCGGUGACCCAACCUAACAAGGAGGGAGCCGUCGAAGGCGGGACGGAUGACUGGGGUGAAGUCGUAACAAGGUAUC